GAUGAAGAACGUAGCGAAAUGCGAUAAGUAAUGCGAAUUGCAGAAUUCCAGUGAGUCAUCGAAUCUUUGAACGCACAUUGCGCCCUUUGGUAUUCCGAAGGGCAUGCCUGUUCGAGCGUCAUUAUCACCCCACAAGCCCCCGGCUUGGUGUUGGACGGCUUGGUGGAGACCCUUUUGUGGCCCACCCCUCCCAAAGACAAUGACGGCGGCCUCGUUGGACCCCCGGUACACUGAGUUCUUCACGGGACACGUAUCGGACACACGGGUUUACGGGUCACGGUCUGCCCCCCCUCAGGGAGAACUUUUCUAAGGUUGACCUCGGAUCAGGUAGGGAUACCCGCUGAACUUAAGCAUAUCAAUAAGCGGAGGA
rnacentral:misc_RNA from 1 species